rnacentral:rRNA from 1 species
AAUACCUAGUGGCGGACGGGUGAGUAACGCGUGGGAAUCUGCCUUUAGAUGGGGGAUAACGGGCCGAAAGGUCCGCUAAUACCGCAUAUGCCGCAAGGUGAAAGGAGUAAUCCGUCUAAAGAUGAGCCCGCGUCCGAUUAGCUAGUUGGUAGAGUAAGAGCCUACCAAGGCGACGAUCGGUAGCUGGUCUGAGAGGAUGAUCAGCCACAAUGGGACUGAGACACGGCCCAU